rnacentral:tRNA from 1 species
ACUUAUUUGGUGUAAUCGGUAGCACAGUCAUCUGGCAAAUGACUGAUAGUUGGUUCGACUCCUUUAAUGAGAU